rnacentral:rRNA from 1 species
GACGAACGCUGGCGGCGUGCUUAACACAUGCAAGUCGAACGGAAAGGCCCUGCUUUUGUGGGGUGCUCGCGUGGCGAACGGGUGAGUAACACGUGAGUAACCUGCCCUUUACUUUGGGAUAACUUCAGGAAACUGGGGCUAAUACCUGCUAGGAGCUCCUGCUGCAUGGUGGUGUUUGGACAGUUUCGGCGGUAGGGGAUGGACUCGCGGCUUAUCAGCUUGUUGGUGGGGUAGUGGCUUACCCAGGCUUUGACGGGUAGCCGGCCUGAGAGGGUGAACGGCGACAAUAGGACUGAGGUACGGAGCAGACGCGUACGGGAGGCAGCAGUGGGGAAUAUUGCACAAUGGGCGGAAGCGUGAUGAAGAAACGCCGCGAGCGGGAUGAAGGCUUACGGGUUGGAAACCGCUGUAGGCUGUGACGAAGCGGGAGUGACGGUAAUGGGUAAAGAAGCACCGGCUAACUACGUG